rnacentral:rRNA from 1 species
UACGGAGGGUGCGAGCGUUGUCCGGAAUCACUGGGCGUAAAGGGCGCGUAGGCGGCGCGAGUAGUCAACGGUGAAAGCCCGGGGCUCAACCCCGGGUCGGCCGUCGAUACUCUCGUGCUUGAGCACUGUAGAGGCAGGUGGAAUUCCGGGUGUAGCGGUGGAAUGCGUAGAGAUCCGGAAGAACACCGGUGGCGAAGGCGGCCUGCUGGGCAGUAGCUGACGCUGAGGCACGACAGCGUGGGGAGCAAACAGG